CUGAUCAGGGACGUGUUUAAAUCCCCCGAUGUCGAUGCUAUACUGAAUAUCUCACUACGGGCGGGUGGUGGUGAUGAUUUUCUUGCUUGGGCCCAUGAAAGAAGUGGCAUCUAUUCUGUAAAAUCGGUGUACCGUGCUCUUGUGACUCAGAAGGAGCUUGUAGCUCUAGAGGAAGGGACAGUUACCGGAUCCUCACAGACAAAAGAACAGAUGUGGAAGUCGCUAUGGAAGCUCAAGGUGUUGCCGAAGGUUCGUGUUUUCGGUGGAGAGUGGUGCGUGGAAUUCUUCCAGAUGAAUGUACCUUGUGGCAUCGUCAUAUAA
rnacentral:rRNA from 1 species